CUUUUAAAGGAUCCGAGUCUAAUCCGUUGGUCUUAGGAGCCAGAGUUCUUGGUGCA
rnacentral:tRNA from 1 species